rnacentral:lncRNA from 1 species
GAGAUUACCGGUGUGAGCCACUGCGCCUGGCCAUUUCUGCUCUGAAACUUUUUAUUUAUUCAUUCAUGUAUUAAUUUUUGAGACGGAGUUUUGCUCUUAUUGACCAGGUUGGAGUGAAAUUGCACCAUCUCUGCUCACCGCAACCUCCGCCUCCCGUGUUCAAGCAAUUCUCCCGCCUCAGCCUCAGGUCAGGCUGAUCUCAAACUCGAGACCUCAAGUGAUCUGCCGCCUCAGGUCAGGCUGGUCUCGAACUGGAGACCUCACAUGAUCUGCCGCCUUGGCCUCCCAAAGUGCUAGGAUUAUAGGCGUGAGCCACCCCGCCCAGCCCUGCUCUAAAACUUUCUAAUAAACUUUUGCUUUCACUCCUGCUCUAAAACUUGCCUCAGUCUCUCCUAGUGCCCUAUGCCCCUCAGUUGAAUUUUUUCUUCUGAGGAGGCAAAAACUGAGGUUGGUGCAGACCUGUAUGGACACAGAUUCACCAUCUGUAACAAUGUCAGAAACAAGAGAAAUAAAAAUCAACCGACACUAUUACUUUACCUGAGUAAGAGCCAUCCCUGUUUCUUCUUUCUCUUCUUCCUCUUCUAGGCAUCUUCCUUGGGUAAUAUGAAAAAGCCUUUAGAAGUCAAGCCUGAAUGUCUAAAAUAUGCUGGUUAAUGACUGGAAUCAACACCCUCAUUUUCGUGCCUCGAACACCUAUUCAGGGAAGCCCUCGCUGUGGAAAGCCAGUUCUCUGCGAGUCAUUGCACCAGAUGGGACACAGGGACAACAAGCUCCUACAGGAAGACCAACAGGUGAGUUUUGGGCCCAUUUCUUCAGAUCCCGCUCCCCUCCCAGAGAGGCCCCCACACACACUGCAGCAGUGGGGAGCUGGGCUGGACUGAGCUUCUCUUCAGGGCACAGACCCAGCCCUGAGCAAACCUCAUGCAGAGCACAGCCUCCCUCACCCAUCUGUGAAUCACAGGCUGAUUCCAACCCUCAGAAACAAAGGGCGGAGCCUGGAUGCUCAAUGCUGAACACACAUGGAAUCACCUUUAAAUAUGAUUAAGGACAGGUCCCAAUGUAUUUGAAUGAAAACUGCUGGUAAGGGGGCACCAGAGGUGUACCUGCAAAAUGCCCCAGCACUGCAAUGUGAAGCCAGGGUUGGGUUCUGCCCAGAGAGGGAAGCCCAAUACAGCUCCCACCUUCUGGCUCUGCCCCCACUUCGGGCCUUAUUGUCAUCAGGAUCGAAACAGUAGACAGCAAAGGGGCAGAAAGUAACAUCCACAGUAGCCAACAUGGACCAGAGGUGAGGGUUGAGGGUGGCUGGAGUGUUAAAUUGGGGGUGGGGGAGUCCACAGAAGUUCCCAUUAAAAAGGUGACACCAUGCUGGGCACAGAGGCUUAGGCUUGUAAUCCCAGCACUUUGCAGAUCACAAGGUCAGGAGUUUGAGAACAGACGGGCCAACAUAGUGAAACCCCAUCUCUACUAAAAAUACCAAAAAUUAGCUGGGCAUGGUGGCAGGCGCCUGUAAUCUCAGCUACUCUGGAGGCUGAGGCAAAAGAAUUGCUUGAACCCGGGAGGUGGAGGCUGAAGUGAGCUGAGAUCGUGCCAUUGCACUCCAGCCCGGGUGACAGAGCAAGAAUCUGUCUCACAAAAAAAAAAAAAAAAAGACCAGGCGCGGUGGCUCACGCCUGUAAUCCCAGCACUUCGGGAGGCCGAGGCAGGUGAAUCACGAGGUCAAGAGAUCGAGACCAUCCUGGCUAACACAGCAAAACCCCAUUUCUACUAAAAAUACAAAAAAUUAGCCGGGCAUAGUGGCGGGCACUUGUAGUCCCACCUACUCGGGAUGCUGAAGCAGGAAAAUGGUGUGAACCUGGGAGGCGGAGCUUGCAGUGAGUGGGGAUGGCGCCACUGCACUCCAGCCUGGGCGACAGAGUGAGACUCCAUCUCAAAAAAAAAAAAAAAAAAAA